GCUUGCAUCAGAUGACGAGUGGCGCACGGGUGAGUAACGCGUAUACAAUCUACCUUUUACAGGGGGAUAGCCUUUAGAAAUGAAGAUUAAUAUCCCAUAGUAAGUAGUUUUGGCAUCAAGACAACUUUAAAGUUUCGGCGGUAAAAGAUGAGUAUGCGUUCUAUUAGUUAGUUGGUAAGGUAACGGCUUACCAAGACCGCGAUAGAUAGGGGCCCUGAGAGGGGGAUCCCCCACACUGGUACUGAGACACGGACCAGACUCCUACGGGAGGCAGCAGUGAGGAAUAUUGGACAAUGGGCGCGAGCCUGAUCCAGCCAUGCCGCGUGCAGGAAGACUGCCCUAUGGGUUGUAAACUGCUUUUAUACAGGAAGAAACCUUUUCACGUGUGAAAAGCUGACGGUACUGUAAGAAUAAGGAUCGGCUAACUCCGUGCCAGCAGCCGCGGUAAUACGGAGGAUCCAAGCGUUAUCCGGAAUCAUUGGGUUUAAAGGGUCCGUAGGUGGAUAAUUAAGUCAGGGGUGAAAGUUUGCAGCUCAACUGUAAAAUUGCCUUUGAUACUGGUUAUCUUGAAUUAUUGUGAAGUGGUUAGAAUAUGUAGUGUAGCGGUGAAAUGCAUAGAUAUUACAUAGAAUACCAAUUGCGAAGGCAGAUCACUAACAAUAUAUUGACACUGAUGGACGAAAGCGUGGGGAGCGAACAGGAUUAGAUACCCUGGUAGUCCACGCCGUAAACGAUGGAUACUAGCUGUUCGGUUUUCGGACUGAGUGGCUAAGCGAAAGUGAUAAGUAUCCCACCUGGGGAGUACGUUCGCAAGAAUGAAACUCAAAGGAAUUGACGGGGGCCCGCACAAGCGGUGGAGCAUGUGGUUUAAUUC
rnacentral:rRNA from 1 species